GACGAACGCUGGCGGCGUGCUUAACACAUGCAAGUCGAACGGAAAGGCCCUGCUUUUGUGGGGUGCUCGAGUGGCGAACGGGUGAGUAACACGUGAGUAACCUGCCCUUGACUUUGGGAUAACUUCAGGAAACUGGGGCUAAUACCGGAUAGGAGCUCCUGCUGCAUGGUGGGGGUUGGAAAGUUUCGGCGGUUGGGGAUGGACUCGCGGCUUAUCAGCUUGUUGGUGGGGUAGUGGCUUACCAAGGCUUUGACGGGUAGCCGGCCUGAGAGGGUGACCGGCCACAUUGGGACUGGGAACCGGCCCGGACCCCUACGGGGGGAAGCAGGGGGGAAUAUUGCACAAGGGGGGGAAGCCGGAUGCAGCAACGCCGCGUGCGGGAUGAGGGCCUUCGGGUGGUAAACCGCUUUCGCCGGGGACGAAGCGGGAGUGACGGUAAUGGGUAAAGAAGCACCGGCUAACUACGU
rnacentral:rRNA from 1 species